ACCUUAACUGUCCUGGGUAGAGAGUCUGUGUUGUGUCGGUGCUUCUGUUGGUCGUUGCUGGACCUCAGUGAACGUCGGCACCACAGAGAACUUUUCUUCCUGGGAGCAGGCUCCGGAGGAUUCCUCUCCAGGCUGGACUUUGAUGGACGUCCACUUGUGUUCAUAGUGGUGGUGGAGGUGGUGCUGGUGGUGGACUACCAACGGCGACUAGCUAAACAGCGACCAGCCUCAAAGCAUCAUUCCCCCGCUGUGCCACAUAAUCUGACGGCCUCUUGGAAGCGUGCGCGUGUGCGUUGCAACUGAAAGAGAAACGCUUCAAAGCAGGAAAUCGGGCGUCACGUGACGUUUGUGGCGCUCGUGCACCUGCACAUCACAACCUCAUUUCCCGAAAGUAUUCUUCUCUUUAGCGUUUAAUUUCAAACUAUAAGCCAAAGACGUACCACUUCCACACAAAAUGGGAGAAUAAAGGCCGCCUUCUUGACUUCAUGCAGCGUUUAAGCUGCACUCACCUUGGGUACCAAUGAUUUCCAUGUGGAGGUGAGCCAGACCGCUGGCUAUGGACAAAGCGAGAACCAUCAUGCUUUCCACUGACACGGUGUGUCUGUUCAGAAGUCGGUGAAGCAGCAGUUCCUCUUGGAGACGUUGGGGGAGCUGUAGCAGAACACCUGGCCUCUCAUCUCCAGGGGCGACAGGCACAACUGCAUCGUCUCCUCUCGGCCGUCAAUCAACAUGACAGAGUUCCAGCAGGCGCCGUCUGCGGACGUCUCGCAAACGUGGUCGUCGCACAGCUGGCACACACAUUUUAAACCUGGAACAGUCCAUCAAAACAGAGCAUUGUUCUCUUUUUCUUACACAGAUCCUGCAUUGGGAAGUACACUUGUUGACCACCUUCAUUGUUAUCGUGGUAUUUAACCGCUUGGAAGCAGACCUGUUAUAUAAGAGCGGCCAUAUUAAGUGGUGUGGACGAACGAGAGUAAUGCCUCUUAGUUUAACACCCACAUAAUCUUAUGUUCUUCUCAGAGCUGCUGUCAUGCUUUGUUUGACAAGCACCUCCCUGAUUGACGAGCAGGACGCCACUACCUGAUAAGAACGAUGUUACUUCAUUCAAUCGCUUCAUAAAAAUCAUUCCAUAAAAUUCCAUUAACCAUUCCAUAAAAGGAAGGAAAUUUAUACGGUGAUAUUUCCUGGUUCUAGUCGGGACUCGAGCAGCAGUAUUCGUUCAGAGCCUGGGGAAAGUCUGCAUAGCAGAAACAUGUGUGGUUCUCAAACCAGAGGAAAACGUGCACAUGGUUGACUGUACUUGUAUUAAUCAGAGAGUAUAACGACUUUUAUGAUACUAAAGCUCCAUUUUUGGUUGGUUUUACAAAGUAAUUAAUUGCUCAAUUUAAUGGACAACAAAGAGACACGAUCCAUACAGUAAAUGGCUGUAACAAGAGAAGACCGACUAGACCUGACAAGCUUCAUGUAAAUUGCUUGUGUCAGUUGUAAAUCGCAAUAAAAAGUGUGAAAUAAAAGUCCAGAAAAUCUGCUGAAGUUGACUUUCUAAAGCAUCCUUGACAAUCUUCUCAGGCUUUUCAAGUGCAGCCUGGCUUUAGUCCUAAAGAACUUGACGGUAAACACUUCAGCGACAUAUUCCUUAUUGCUUAUAGAAAAGCUGUAUACAUAAAUAUUGUUGUAUUGUCGAAUGGAGUGGCAGCUGGAUUACCCCGCAUGCUUUGCGGGCAUUUUGGAAAUACCGUUCCAAGUUUAUGUGUUUGUUUUUAAGCGCAUUGUUGUAGUUCAUUAUUAUUAUUGUCCAUGAGCGAGACUGUUGUUCUGUUUGAUGAAACUCUCUUUUUGCACUGUGAAGCUAGUUCUUAGCUAGCGCUUUCUCCAAAAAAGGAGUCUAUUUGUGACAGUUGAUUAGCAUAAUCAAUAAACACACUACAGCAUAAGACGUGCGUGUAAUGUGGAACUCAGUCACAAUCACAUUGUUCAUGAGUGUAGACCGUCAACGUCAAGCUAGCAGGAGGGUUCGGGAGUGGGGCCAAAAUAGACACGUUUUACACCCGGGUUUUUCUACAUUUGCUCAUGGCCCCCCAGAAGGUAACCCACACAAAAAAAUGAGGAUCUGCUGUCGUCAGUGUGUAUGUGUGUGUGUGUGUGUGUAGACAGUGGAAGCGGAUACCAAGAUAGCAUAGCAACAAGGUGACCUUGACAACUUUGAGCAUGUUUCAGAAAGGAACUCCGGCUAGAUUGAUAUUUCUUUCAUUGACUAAACUAAACUAUUCAAAAAUGAUGUAUCUUGUAUUGCUCAUCCUCCUGGGGUUGCCAGGCAACAACUUGGGACAAAAGCAAAGUUGACAAUUAGAAAGCAUGAGAGGAAAUGUACAGCUAAUAUGUUUUUUUUAUGAAGGGCAGAAGUAUGAAAUAUACACUCAUCAAUAUUUUUAAGACCAUUUUUAGACUAUAGCCUUUAAAAGACAAAAAUGCAGUGUCAGCGUCGUUUUCUGUCGGUUGUAUGCAGUCAUCUUAAACCUGAGUGUUAUGAAACGAAAAGUCACAUGACCGACACAACCAAAUGUCAGGACGAUCCCCAAUUAUGGCUGCUCCCACCAAGGAGAUGCUACCUGAGAUGUUUUCCACACGGCACAGUGGAGAGGCUGCCAUCAUGAUCUGGGCUACUUUUGCCUUCCAUUGGAACAAUGGAGAUUCAGAUUGUG